rnacentral:rRNA from 1 species
CCUACGGGGGGCAGCAGUGGGGAAUAUUGGACAAUGGGCGAAAGCCUGAUCCAGCCAUGCCGCGUGUGUGAAGAAGGCCUUCGGGUUGUAAAGCACUUUCAGUGGGGAAGAAAGCCUUGGGGCUAAUACCCUCGAGGAAGGACAUCACCCACAGAAGAAGCACCGGCUAACUCCGUGCCAGCAGCCGCGGUAAUACGGAGGGUGCGAGCGUUAAUCGGAAUUACUGGGCGUAAAGCGCGCGUAGGCGGUCUGAUAAGCCGGUUGUGAAAGCCCCGGGCUCAACCUGGGAACGGCAUCUGGAACUGUCAGGCUAGAGUGCAGGAGAGGAAGGUAGAAUUCCCGGUGUAGCGGUGAAAUGCGUAGAGAUCGGGAGGAAUACCAGUGGCGAAGGCGGCCUUCUGGACUGACACUGACGCUGAGGUGCGAAAGCGUGGGUAGCAAACAGGAUUAGAUACCCUAGUAGUC